rnacentral:rRNA from 1 species
GAGUUUGAUUCUGGCUCAGAUUGAACGCUGGCGGCAUGCUUUACACAUGCAAGUCGAACGGCAGCACAAGGAGCUUGCUCCUGGGUGGCGAGUGGCGAACGGGUGAGUAAUGUAUCGGAACGUGCCUGGUAGUGGGGGAUAACCACUCGAAAGAGUGGCUAAUACCGCAUGAGAUCUCUGGAUGAAAGCGGGGGACCUUCGGGCCUCGCGCUAUCGGAGCGGCCGAUAUCAGAUUAGGUUGUUGGUGGGGUAAAGGCCUACCAAGCCUGCGAUCUGUAGCUGGUCUGAGAGGACGACCAGCCACACUGGGACUGAGACACGGCCCAGACUCCUACGGGAGGCAGCAGUGGGGAAUUUUGGACAAUGGGCGCAAGCCUGAUCCAGCAAUGCCGCGUGCAGGACGAAGGCCUUCGGGUUGUAAACUGCUUUUGUACAGAACGAAAAGUCUCUGGCUAAUAUCUAGAGAUCAUGACGGUACU